GCCUGGGUGGCUCAGUGGGUGGAGCAUACAACUCUUGAUCUUGGGGCUGUGGGUUUUAGCCCCACUUUGGGUA
rnacentral:tRNA from 1 species